rnacentral:misc_RNA from 1 species
GGUAGGCCUCCCUCUCCCUUAAAAUUUCCAUUCGCAAUUGCUUGGCGCUUGAUUAUUAAUUUAGCUGGCUGCCACCCACAUUAUUUCCUUGAUCCUUUGGAAGUACUUUUGUUCUUUGUGAAAAUAAACUGUUAUUUACAUCUAUUCAUGGGACAAUUAUAGCUGUUAAGCAUUUCUUGAGUUAUUGAAGUUCGGAUCUUUGCGAUUUCAGUGUAUUGUUGGCAAUGCAUUUUUAGGCCACCAACAAAGUGGUGUAUAAGCAAUUUGCAUUUUGUUCAACUGAGUAAACCUUGGGGGUGGGAGGUGGAUUAUAUGGUUAAUGCAAAAUUCAGCUUCCCAUUAACUUCAUUGGGAUAUUGGGAUCCAUGUAGAGUGGAAACUAGAUGAAGAAGCUAACAC